GCUAUAUCUAUAGACCUACCCAUCUAUCUAUCUACCUAUCUACCUAUCCAUCCAGUCCAUCCAUCCAUUCAUCCAUCUAUUUAUCCAAACGACUGGCAUUGACAUUGAUAGAAUUAUACAUACAUUCAUUCGGCAACUUGGGCUCCUAUCAAAAUGUAUCUCUUGUUUGGUUCAACUUUUACGAUUCUCAUUCUGUUUGUGACUUCCUCAUUCGGUGUGGCUAUUCCUGCUACUUCAACCACCUCUACAUCAAAUUCUGUGGUAACAAGUUCCUCUCAACCGAGUCCAUCAUAUUACGCUGCAAUCUGGAAUAAACUGUAUCAGUAUCGUGAUCACCCAAUUGUCUCUACAAUGGCUAACCAUGCCAUCGUGAACACAGUGAAAAAUUAUAUGUCGAGUAAACCAACAACAGCAGCAGCAGCAGCGGGCAAAAAAGAAGAAAACUCGCCACUAAAUCAUCCCAUGGUUCAGAGUUUGUUCACAAACAUGUUCUUCAAUGCGCUCAAGCCCAAAAAAUGAUCACUAUGUUACUCUUUGUGCUAUCUAAAUAAGUCCAUAGUAUGAAUAGCAGGUAUCCAUUAUUUGAAAUGCUUACUCCAUAAGAAAAUAUAUAUGCAAUUUCA